rnacentral:rRNA from 1 species
UGCAGUCGAACGGGAUCCCUGGCAGCUUGCUGUCGGGGUGAGAGUGGCGAACGGGUGAGUAAUGCGUGACCAACCUGCCCUGUGCACCGGAAUAGCUCCUGGAAACGGGUGGUAAUACCGGAUGCUCCGCUCCAUCGCAUGGUGGGGUGGGAAAUGCUUUUGCGGCAUGGGAUGGGGUCGCGUCCUAUCAGCUUGUUGGCGGGGUGAUGGCCCACCAAGGCGUUGACGGGUAGCCGGCCUGAGAGGGUGACCGGCCACAUUGGGACUGAGAUACGGCCCAGACUCCUACGGGAGGCAGCAGUGGGGAAUAUUGCACAAUGGGCGCAAGCCUGAUGCAGCGACGCCGCGUGCGGGAUGGAGGCCUUCGGGUUGUAAACCGCUUUUGUUCAAGGGCAAGGCACGGUUUCGGCCGUGUUGAGUGGAUUGUUCGAAUAAGCACCGGCUAC